rnacentral:rRNA from 1 species
GAUGAACGCUGGCGGCGUGCCUAAUACAUGCAAGUCGAGCGAACAGACGCGGAGCUUGCUCCUUUGACGUUAGCGGCGGACGGGUGAGUAACACGUGGAUAACCUACCUAUAAGACUGGGAUAACUUCGGGAAACCGGAGCUAAUACCGGAUAACAUGCUGAACCGCAUGGUUCAACAGUGAAAGACGGUCUUGCUGUCACUUAUAGAUGGAUCCGCGCCGCAUUAGCUAGUUGGUAAGGUAACGGCUUAUCAAGGCAACGAUGCGUAGCCGACCUGAGAGGGUGAUCGGCCACACUGGAACUGAGACACGGUCCAGGCUCCUACGGGAGGCAGCAGUAGGGAAUCUUCCGCAAUGGUCGAAAGCCUGACGGAGCAACGCCGCGUGAGUGAAGAAGGUCUUCGGAUCGUAAAACUCUGUUAUUAGGGAAGAACAAAUGUGUAAGUAACUAUGCACGUCUUGACGGUACCUAAUCAGAAAGCCACGGCUAACUACGUG